CCUACGGGUGGCAGCAGUGGGGAAUAUUGGACAAUGGGGGGAACCCUGAUCCAGCGACGCCGCGUGAGUGAAGAAGUAUUUCGGUAUGUAAAGCUCUAUCAGCAGGGAAGAAAGAAAUGACGGUACCUGACUAAGAAGCCCCGGCUAACUACGUGCCAGCAGCCGCGGUAAUACGUAGGGGGCAAGCGUUAUCCGGAUUUACUGGGUGUAAAGGGAGCGUAGACGGCGGUGAAAGUCUGAAGUGAAAGGCGGGGGCCCAACCCCCGGACUGCUUUGGAAACUGUAUGGCUGGAGUGCAGGGGAGGUAAGUGGAAUUCCUAGUGUAGCGGUGAAAUGCGUAGAUAUUAGGAGGAACACCAGUGGCGAAGGCGGCUUACUGGACUGUAACUGACGUUGAGGCUCGAAAGCGUGGGGAGCAAACAGGAUUAGAUACCCCUGUAGUC
rnacentral:rRNA from 1 species